ACCCCUUCAGGGUCACAUCUGGAGAGUUUCCAGUACACUACUAGUCUUGGCUACAGGAGGGAGAGUCAAGCAGAGGCCUACCCAUUCCAUUCCUAGCUUGGCCAGUGGCUAGUGAGUGGAAAGCAAUCUGCUACCAGU
rnacentral:snoRNA from 1 species